rnacentral:rRNA from 1 species
GCUAGUUGGCAGGGUAAUGGCCUACCAAGGCUACGAUGGUUAGCUGGUCUGAGAGGAUGGCCAGCCACACUGGAACUGAGACACGGUCCAGACUCCUACGGGAGGCAGCAGUGAGGAAUCUUGCGCAAUGGGGGAAACCCUGACGCAGCAACGCCGCGUGAGUGAGGAAGGCCUUCGGGUCGUAAAGCUCUGUCAGAUGGGAAGAAAUGGAUGGGGGCUAAUAUCGCCCAUCCUUGACGGUACCAUCAGAGGAAGCACCGGCUAACUCCGUGCCAGCAGCCGCGGUAAUACGGGGGGUGCGAGCGUUGUUCGGAAUCAUUGGGCGUAAAGAGCGCGCAGGCGGCUUGGUGAGUCAGAUGUGAAAGCCCUGGGCUUAACCCAGGAAGUGCAUUUGAUACUGCCUCGCUAGAGUACGGGAGAGGAAAGUGGAAUUCCUGGUGUAGAGGUGAAAUUCGUAGAUAUCAGGAGGAACACCGGUGGCGAAGGCGACUUUCUGGCCCGAUACUGACGCUCAGGCGCGAAAGCGUGGGGAGCAAACAGGAUUAGAUACCCUGGUAGUCCACGCCGUAAACGAUGUUCACUAGGUGUUGGGGGUAUUGACCCUCU